CAUAGCGACUAUCGUGGCAUAUCAAUAAGCGGAGGAAAAGAAACUAACAAGGAUUCCCUUAGUAACGGCGAGUGAAGCGGGAAGAGCUCAAAUUUGAAAUCUUCAAGGUUCUACCUUGACGAAUUGUAGUUUAUAGAAGUGUUUUCUGUUAGUAGGAGUGGCAAAAGUUCUUUGGAAUAGGACAUCAUAGAGGGUGAGAAUCCCGUAUUUGGUCAUUCCUUCUAGCGUUGUGAUACACUUUCAACGAGUCGGAUUGUUUGGGAAUGCAGUCCAAAAUGGGUGGUAAAUUUCAUCUAAAGCUAAAUAUUGGCGAGAGACCGAUAGCGAACAAGUACCGUGAGGGAAAGAUGAAAAGAACUUUGAAAAGAGAGUUAAACAGUACGUGAAAUUGUCAAAAGGGAAGCGUUUGACACCAGUGUUGUUUUUCCGAAAAUCAAUUACGAAUGUUUUGUUUUUGAGGAGUUAUGACUUCAUCGGCUUGCUUCUCUCUUUAUGAAACUUUCUUAAUGCACUUUUCGGUUAACAAGUCAACAUCAAUUUCUUUUGUUGUAAAAGGGUAUGAGGAAGGUGGCUUUCUUUUCGGAGAAAGUGUUUAUAGCCUUGUAGCCUCUGCAAUCGGAGAGAUUGAGGUCUGCAGCGUAGAUCCUUCGGGGUUAGAUACAUUUGUGCUAAGUUAUAGCUUUUCAUAGACAACUUGUUGACUAUGUUUAGUCUUGUAGCUUACUCGCUUAUGCUAUUUAUACCUACGCUUAGGAUGUUGACGAGACUGUCGAUCUC
rnacentral:rRNA from 1 species